rnacentral:rRNA from 1 species
GAACGUACGCUGGCGGCACGCCUAACACAUGCAAGUCGAACGAAGUAGCAAUACUUAGUGGCAGACGGGUGAGUAACAUGUGGGUAUCUGCCCUUUGGCCUGGAAUAACACGAGGAAACUUGUGCUAAUACCGGAUAAGUCUUUACGGAGAAAGCUUUAUGCACCAAUGGAUGAGCCCGCACUUGAUUAGUUUGUUGGUGGGGUAAUGGCCUACCAAGACUGUGAUCAAUAGCUGAUUUGAGAGGAUGAUCAGCCACAUUGGGACUGAGACACGGCCCAAACUCCUACGGGAGGCAGCAGUGGGGAAUCUUGCACAAUGGAGGAAACUCUGAUGCAGCGAUGCCGCGUGAGUGAAGAAGGCCCUUGGGUUGUAAAGCUCUUUCGUCGGGGAAGAAAAUGACUGUACCCGAAUAAGAAGGUCCGGCUAACUUCGUGCCAGCAGCCGCGGUAAUACGAAGGGACCUAGCGUAGUUCGGAAUUACUGGGCUUAAAGAGUUCGUAGGUGGUUGAAAAAGUUGGUGGUGAAAUCCCAGAGCUUAACUCUGGAACUGCCAUCAAAACUUUUCAGCUAGAGUAUGAUAGAGGAAAGCAGAAUUUCUAGUGUAGAGGUGAAAUUCGUAGAUAUUAGAAAGAAUACCGAUUGCGAAGGCAGCUUUCUGGAUCAUUACUGACACUGAGGAACGAAAGCAUGGGUAGCGAAGAGGAUUAGAUACCCUCGUAGUCCAUGCCGUAAACGAUGUGUGUUAGACGUUGGAAAUUUAUUUUCAGUGUCGCAGCGAAAGCGAUAAACACACCGCCUGGGGAGUACGACCGCAAGGUUAAAACUCAAAUGAAUUGACGGGGACCCGCACAAGUAGUGGAGCAUGUGGUUUAAUUCGAAGAUACGCGCAGAACCUUACCAACACUUGACAUGUUCGUCGCGACUUUAAGAGAUUAAAGUUUUCGGUUCGACCGGACGAAACACAGGUGCUGCAUGGCUGUCGUCAGCUCGUGUCGUGAGAUGUUGGGUUAAGUCCCGCAACGAGCGCAACCCUCACUUUUAGUUGCCAUCAUUAAGUUGGGCACUCUGAAAGAACUGCCAGUGAUAAGCUGGAGGAAGGUGGGGAUGACGUCAAGUCCUCAUGGCCCUUACGUGUUGGGCUACACACGUGCUACAAUGGUAUCUACAACAGGAAGCAAGACUGCGAAGUUAAGCAAAUCCCUAAAAGAUACCUCAGUUCGGAUUGCACUCUGCAACUCGAGUGCAUGAAGCUGGAAUUACUAGUAAUCGUGGAUCAGCGUGCCACGGUGAAUGCGUUCCCGGGUCUUGUACACACCGCCCGUC